rnacentral:rRNA from 1 species
AGAGUUUGAUCAUGGCUCAGGAUGAACGCUAGCGGCAGGCUUAACACAUGCAAGUCGAGGGGUAUAGUUCUUCGGAGCUAGAGACCGGCGCACGGGUGCGUAACGCGUAUGCAAUCUACCUUUUACAGAGGGAUAGCCCAGAGAAAUUUGGAUUAAUACCUCAUAGUAUGUGAGAAUCGCAUGGUUUUCACAUUAAAGUCACAACGGUAAAAGAUGAGCAUGCGUCCCAUUAGCUUGUUGGUAAGGUAACGGCUUACCAAGGCAACGAUGGGUAGGGGUCCUGAGAGGGAGAUCCCCCACACUGGUACUGAGACACGGACCAGACUCCUACGGGAGGCAGCAGUGAGGAAUAUUGGACAAUGGGCGCAAGCCUGAUCCAGCCAUGCCGCGUGCAGGAUGACGGUCCUAUGGAUUGUAAACUGCUUUUGUACAGGAAGAAACACUCCCUCGUGAGGGAGCUUGACGGUACUGUAAGAAUAAGGAUCGGCUAACUCCGUGCCAGCAGCCGCGGUAAUACGGAGGAUCCAAGCGUUAUCCGGAAUCAUUGGGUUUAAAGGGUCCGUAGGCGGUUUAAUAAGUCAGUGGUGAAA